UCUGUAAUCAUCAUAACGCAUGCAUAUGCCCCCAAAAGGCAAAAGCGCCCAAACACACGGCCCAAAGCCUCUAUGUGUGUUCAGACGGGCCCCAAAGGCCUCUCAUCUCAUCUCAUCUGCAUCAUUGUAUCUGGAGGGAAGGGUACUGUCUAAUGAUUUAAAAAACAAUCAUUAUACUCAUAUUCACAUACCUCUUAACCAUAUUUUAAAUCAUACCACAUUUGAAUCCACUUUUCUUAUCUUUAAAAUACUAUCAUGCUUAUUCAAAGUCAAUACGCAAAAUCAUUAACCAAACAUUUUAAUAAAAUACCAAUGCGUGAAUAAAAUCCAGUUCGAGGAAAUCAUUAAAUCAGAACAUUUAAAAUACUUAUUUCACAAACAUGCAUUACUAUCAUAAUUAACUAUGAAAAUAGGUUUUGCAUAUUCUACUCACAGUGACGGUGUUCACGGUCGGUUAUCGUCCACGUCUGCGGACCGGUUCUCGCUCGCGGAUCCUCCGAAAUGCCCUAGCCGGUCAACGGUCACCGGAAUUUGGUCAACGCUGGCCGGAAAACUCAAGUCUAAAAGUUCCAAUCACGCUGAGUUCAAUGGUACUGGCGAUGAGCUCCAACGCGCGGUAACGAAGUCGGAAUCUAGCUCGGCAGCCGUGAAUUCCAACAAUCGACUGGCGGCAAAACAGUUAUUCUCGGUGGCUAUGGAUGGUCGGAAAUGGAAGAGGGAGUCGUGAGGAACAAAAUCCAACCGGUGGUGUCACCCAAAACCGGCAAAAAUCCCGGCGGAGCAAAGUGAAACAGUCGCGGGUUUCAAGCUUCGAUCGCCGGUGUUCCGAUUAGUUUCGGCGACGAGGAUGGCAAGGGGACGACGUCCGACUUCUAAGCUUCAGAUUGGUACCAAGCUCGGCUGAAAUGGUGGCCAAAAAUGGAAGUUAUGGCCGGGUCACGUUCGCGGGUCGGGUCGGGUUUUCGGGUCUGUAGUUGGGUCGGUUUGGCAGCUUCUCUCUCACUCUCUGUUACACGUGCAUAUGUUUCCUCUGUUUCCAGCUUAUUAUUUUACUUAUAAAAUCCUUAACCGCAGUCCCCAUGGGACAAAAGCGCCCAAGCACACGGCUCAAAGCCUCUGUGUGUACUCAGACAGGCCCCAAAGCCCUGUAUCUCAUCUGUAUCUCAAUAUAUGUCUGUAUCUCAUAUUUAUAUAUCUGUAAUCAUCAUAACGCAUGCAUAUGCCCCCAAAAGGCAAAAGCGCCCAAACACACGGCCCAAAGCCUCUAUGUGUGUUCAGACGGGCCCCAAAGGCCUCUCAUCUCAUCUCAUCUGCAUCAUUGUAUCUGGAGGGAAGGGUACUGUCUAAUGAUUUAAAAAACAAUCAUUAUACUCAUAUUCACAUACCUCUUAACCAUAUUUUAAAUCAUACCACAUUUGAAUCCACUUUUCUUAUCUUUAAAAUACUAUCAUGCUUAUUCAAAGUCAAUACGCAAAAUCAUUAACCAAACAUUUUAAUAAAAUACCAAUGCGUGAAUAAAAUCCAGUUCGAGGAAAUCAUUAAAUCAGAACAUUUAAAAUACUUAUUUCACAAACAUGCAUUACUAUCAUAAUUAACUAUGAAAAUAGGUUUUG
rnacentral:lncRNA from 1 species